AUUGAACGCUGGCGGCAGGCCUAACACAUGCAAGUCGAGCGGUAGAGAGAAGCUUGCUUCUCUCGAGAGCGGCGGACGGGUGAGUAAUGCCUAGGAAUCUGACUGGUAGUGGGGGAUAACGGUCGGAAACGGACGCUAAUACCGCAUACGUCCUACGGGAGAAAGCAGGAGACCUUCGGGCCUUGCGCUAUCAGAUGCGCCUAGGUCGGAUGAGCUAGUUGGUGGGGUAAUGGCUCACCAAGGCGACGAUCCGUAACUGGUCUGAGAGGAUGAUCGGUCACACUGCGACUGAGACAGGGGCCAGACUCCCACGGGAGGCAGGAGUGGGGAAUAUGGGACAAUGGGCGAAAGCCGGAUCCAGCCAUGCCGCGUGGGUGAAGAGGGUCUUCGGAUGGUAAAGCACUUUAAGUUGGGAGGAAGGGCAGUAAAUUAAUACUUUGCUGUUUUGACGUUACCGACAGAAUAAGCACCGGCUAACUCUGUGCCAGCCGCCGCCGUAA
rnacentral:rRNA from 1 species